rnacentral:tRNA from 1 species
GCCUGUCUAGUUCAGGCGGUAGAGUAUCAGCCUUUUAAUUUGAGAGUCCAGGGUUCAACUCCCUGUCUAGGUG